rnacentral:rRNA from 1 species
GGCAAGCGUUAUCCGGAAUUAUUGGGCGUAAAGCGUCCGCAGGCGGCCCUUCAAGUCUGCUGUUAAAAAGUGGAGCUUAACUCCAUCAUGGCAGUGGAAACUGUUGGGCUUGAGUGUGGUAGGGGCAGAGGGAAUUCCGGUGUAGCGGUGAAAUGCGUAGAUAUCGGGAAGAACACCAGUGGCGAAGGCGCUCUGCUGGGCCAUCACUGACGCUCAUGGACGAAAGCCAGGGGAGCGAAAGGGAUUAGAUACCCCUGUAGUCCUGGCCGUAAACGAUGAACACUAGGUGUCGGGGGAAUCGACCCCCUCGGUGUCGUAGCCAACGCGUUAAGUGUUCCGCCUGGGGAGUACGCACGCAAGUGUGAAACUCAAAGGAAUUGACGGGGGCCCGCACAAGCGGUGGAGUAUGUGGUUUAAUUCGAUGCAACGCGAAGAACCUUACCAGGGUUUGACAUCCUGCGAAUCUCUUGGAAACGAGAGAGUGCCUUCGGGAACGCAGUGACAGGUGGUGCAUGGCU